GGCUCAGGACGAACGCUGGCGGCGUGCCUAAUACAUGCAAGUCGAGCGAACCACUUCGGUGGUUAGCGGCGGACGGGUGAGUAACACGUGGGCAACCUGCCUGUAAGACUGGGAUAACUUCGGGAAACCGGAGCUAAUACCGGAUAAUCCUUUUCCUCUCAUGAGGAAAAGCUGAAAGACGGUUUCGGCUGUCACUUACAGAUGGGCCCGCGGCGCAUUAGCUAGUUGGUGAGGUAACGGCUCACCAAGGCGACGAUGCGUAGCCGACCUGAGAGGGUGAUCGGCCACACUGGGACUGAGACACGGCCCAGACUCCUACGGGAGGCAGCAGUAGGGAAUCUUCCACAAUGGACGAAAGUCUGAUGGAGCAACGCCGCGUGAGCGAUGAAGGCCUUCGGGUCGUAAAGCU
rnacentral:rRNA from 1 species